AUGAGCCACGGUGCCUGGUCCAUUUUACAUUCUCAUCAGAAAUGUAUGAGGGAUCUACGCUGCGCUGAGUUCAUCCCCAUGGACAUCCUCACCGGUGGUCUGAGCCUCUGCAGUUCUGCCGUGUGGACAAGCAAUGACUGGCCAAUGAAAAGGCUCCCAUUCCCAGGAGUAUGGCCUAUUAGGUACUCAUCUCAGCACUUUGGGAAACCAAGGCAGGAGGAUCACCUGAGCCCAACAGUUCGAGACCAGCCUGGACAUUAUGCAUUAAGCAUAACAUUUUUACUGGACUCAUUGGAAACAAGAAAAAUCCUAAAAGAGAAAAGAAAAAAACAAAUGCAAACAAGCAAAAGCCUUGAGCUGAAACCAGAACAGUAUAUGACGGGAACUUACUAGUCAAGGCUGCCCUGAAGAAAAUGCCAAGAGCCCUUCAAUCAAUCUGUGAGACUCAGCCCAGGUGGGGACCUGAACCCGAGACUCUUGCAUCAAGGUGGGGACUCUAGAAGGGAGCAAAGGUGGUUCCAGGUCCUUAGUCCCAUAGUUUUCCCUAGAAACAAAAGCCGGACACUCUCUGGAGAGUGUCCCUAUUCACCUAAACUCAUGCUCUCAAAGAGAACCAAACAAACUCCAUCAGGUGAGGGCCAGCAGAAACCCUACACAACAGAUGUAGAUGCCUGAGAGAGGAAUUGUCAGCUACAUAAUAAGCACUCUUAUAUCUGAAAUGUCUACAGAAAUAAGAUGUGGAAUCACAGAAGUAAGCAACAAAGAAGAGGCUAUCUGACAGAACAAAAUAGAAUUACAGAAGAUUAGAAUGUCUAGCAAAGAAAAAAUAGGAUUGCUAAAGUAAGUAAACUUAGUGGACCGAAUAUUAGGUAGGUAUGAUGGCAUGUACCCGUAGUCCCAGCUACUGGGGAGGUUGAGGUGGGAGGAUUGCUUGAGCCCAGGGGGUCGAGGCUACAGUGAGCCAUGAUUGUGCUACUGUACUCAAGCCUGGGUGACAGAGCAAGAUCCUGUCUCAAAAAACAAACAAACAAAAAAAUAACUUAGUGGACAUGGAAAAAGUGGACACCAUGUGUGUCUUGAUGUGAUGCAGUGUAAACUACACAGCCCAGUGUAUAAAGUGGGGUUGCCCAAUAAGAACCCACAUCUAAUUGAGCCUUCACAGCUGAGUUCUGGUUUACAGCAACACAGGAGAGAGAAAAAUGGGUUAAAGACACCAUGAAGAAGGUGAGAGACAAAACCAGAAAUUGGGACAUUCCACAGAACAACUGAUCCAGUUUCUUCAACAUGUCACUGCCACGAGGAAAAAAAAAAGGUAGGGAUCGCUCUAGAUUAAGAGAAAUUUAAGAGACAUAAUUACUAAAUGCAAUAUGUGGCUCCUGCAGACCAACUAUAAAAAGAUAUCUUUGAGGGGACCGGGCGCGGUGGCUCACGCCUGUAAUCCCAGCACUUUGGAGAGGCCAAGGUGGGCGAAUCACGAGGUCAGGAGAGCGAGACCAUCCUGGCCAACACGGUGAAACCCCGUCUCUACUAAAAAUACAAAAAAACUAGCCGGGCGAGGUGGCAGGCGCCUGUAGUCCCAGCUACUGGGGGGCUGAGGCAGGAGAAUGGCAUGAACCCACGAGGCGGAGUUUGCAGUGAGCCGAGAUUGUGCCACUGCACUCUAGCCUGGGCGACAGAGGGAGACUUCAUCUCAAAAAAAAAAAAAAAUUGAGACAAUUUAGGAAAUUUAAAUAUGGCCUAGCAUUAUACUAUAAAGAGUACCAGGGAAUUCCGAUCAUUUGAUAUUGUAAGAAUACCAAACAAUUUAACAGAAUUGUUCAUUGUUAAUUCAGCAACAGCAAAUACAACACAGAGGAAAAGAUGAAGCAAGUUUGACAACAUUUUGAUGAUUGUUGAGUCUCGGCAAUAGGUAUAUGGGAAUUCACUCAACUGUUCUUCCCACGUUUAGAGCAUGCUUGAUGUCUUCUAUAAUAAAUUAUUUUUAAAUCUCUAGAGAAAGAUAUUAUACUCUAUCUUGUUAACAUUUACAAAAUCUCCCAAGCC
rnacentral:lncRNA from 1 species